GUUAGGAGAGCAUUAUUAAACGCAAAACUCAGCCCUCUGGGAGCUGGUGGAACUCAUCCUCUAGAGAUUUUUUUCCUGCAGAAAAGGUUUCGUUACGGACACCCUGGAAUACUGUUUGGAAAGACAACAAGAGAAAAGAAGCUGCAUCCAUCGACUUGUUUUCACUGGAUGAUUUGGAUUUGGAAGCAGAGCCGGCUUUGCCUUGCUGUGUGAAGCAGAGCACCCCAUCUCGCUGCAGUGGCGCCCGGCGCGCUGCUCGCUCACCUCCACGCUGACUGCAGCACCUCUGCUCCUUCACAGCACCCUUUGCUUCUGAGUGGCUUUGUCCCAUUCCCAGAUCCUAUUUCCCUUACCAUGGAAAGCAAAUUAAAAAGGCUGGUGGGGAAGAUAAAGGAUCCUGCUGUUCAGUGGGUGUAUGCGACGGAAAGCUGCUACCUCCCCUCCCCGUGCCUGCUGCUUUUCCCAUCCGACGUGUGACUUGCCUUUCCCAUGCCUUUGAAGCAUCUAGCAGCCAGAGUUUGCUUGUCUGCACAGGAUGGAUGCUUGCAAUGCAAUUACAUUCUUGGUAUUAAGAAGGUGAAAAGACUGAUGAGGAUUGCUGUUAUCCUGCAGAAGCUCUCCUACCAGUACCUCUCACACAGGUUUCCUGCACCAGUCACCUUCUGCACCUUAGCAUGGGUUCAAAGCUCACAUCUCAGCAGGGUUGGUCCACAUUACAGAAGCACAGGAGAGAUUUUUCCAGCUUUGUCGAGGAAGAGAAAACAUGUUACAUCUAUGGCUCAAAGGGAGAAUAAGUGAAUGAUGGAGAGCCAUGGCCUGACGAGCUUAACUUCUCCAGAUGACUGAGCACAGAAUGAAGAAAUGUAAUCACUGAAGAGUAGCGAGCGUCCUGAUUUUCUCAUCCCUCUGUGGGAUUUUUGGGUGAAUACAUCUCUAUUGUCCUCACUGAAAUAGCAUCUUACAUAUAAAGGUACUUCUGGAAGACUUUUGUGCUGAGCAUCUUCUGAUAAAACAUUCACAAAAUAGCCACUUCCCUUUUUAUCAAGAAAAGCUAUAAUCAUGCACUUUUUUAAUAUCUUCAAAUGAAUCUACAGUUUGAUUUUCCUUAGCAAACGAAAUCUCUGUGAUUUCACAAAAAUCAUUUAAAAAACAAAAACAAAACUACAACAACUUAGGGCUUAAUAAGUAAAAGUGAUCUCUCUUUAAAGAGUGCUUAAAUAUUUACCGUAAAUGAAGAAGAGGUCUUCACAGUCUAAAUGAGAAAUAAUGCCCCUGCCAUUGCAAUUGUAUAAGAAAUUACCUUUUGGUAAACGAGAAAAACCUUUCUAUUUUGGCUCAUGUAAAAAGUAUGCAUAGUUUUCUUCUGUCAUAAGUGAUUUGCUUGUCAGCAUGUCCAUCACAAUAGCGUGGCUCAAUUCACACCUGCCCUGAAGGAGUAUAUAUGAUGGUAACUAUAGUCAGUGCAAUUCAGUGAUAUUACAUCGGAAUUAUUACCACCAGGCUUUUUUUCACAGUAACCGUUUAAGCUAGUGUUUAACAUAGAAGGUUAUGUAAAAUGUUAUGCGAUGAUUAUGAAAUAUUUUUUAUCCUAAGAAAUAGAAUUGGUCAGAGUGUAUGUGUCAGCAUUUUUCUCUGAAGAUUUAUUUUUAAUUAAUUUUCACUAGAUAAGAUAGUUAUUACCUUUUCUUUCGUGUAUCAAAUUUCUUAUAUUUCUUUAAAACGCUAUUGCAUCCAAUAAUGUCUUUAAUCAAAGCUGGUUUUAGUUUUAAUACGUUACAAAAAAAUUCAAGGAGAAUAAGUCAGACUUAUAUUUGAUAAUACUGAACCACUUUUAUUGCUUUUAUAAUUUUAAUAUUUUUAAUGAUUGAAAAACCUGUUCUGCAUUAUUCUGGGAGAGGACAGAUGGCCAGCUAAUGUGUAACAUGUAAAUAAAGUCAGUAUUCUCAUCUUCUACUUACA
ensembl:lncRNA